rnacentral:rRNA from 1 species
AUGGUUACUGUCAUUUUAGUUAACCAGGUCUUUGUUUUAGUUUCUUUUUCUCCGGUAUACAUGACAUUUAUUAUUCUUUAUGUUCCUUUGCAGUCCCAAAACUGUUACCUUCGCUGGAGCCAAAAAAACAUUGCACUAAGGAAGGGAGGCGGCGGGGACAAGAGCAGACAAGCUCCAUCGGUGGUGUGGAGAGGAGGAGUGUUGACGCUGUGGAGGGGAGAGGAGGGGGUGAUCGUGGCAGGGAGAGGAGGGGAGUGGUCGGGUGACGACGUUGAGCAAAGGGAAGGCGCCAUGGAAACGAUGAUUGUGUGGAGAUAG